CCUACGUGAGGCAGCAGUGGGGAAUAUUGGGCAAUGGGCGCAAGCCUGACCCAGCAACGCCGCGUGAAGGAAGAAGGCCCUCGGGUUGUAAACUUCUUUUGUCAGGGACGAAGAAAGUGACGGUACCUGACGAAUAAGCCACGGCUAACUACGUGCCAGCAGCCGCGGUAAUACGUAGGUGGCAAGCGUUAUCCGGAUUUACUGGGUGUAAAGGGCGUGUAGGCGGGACUGCAAGUCAGAUGUGAAAUCCACGGGCUCAACCCGUGAACUGCAUUUGAAACUGUUUCCCUUGAGUGUCGGAGAGGUAAUCGGAAUUCCUGGUGUAGCGGUGAAAUGCGUAGAUAUAAGGAAGAACACCAGUGGCGAAGGCGGAUUACUGGACGAUAACUGACGGUGAGGCGCGAAAGCGUGGGGAGCAAACAGGAUUAGAUACCCCUGUAGUC
rnacentral:rRNA from 1 species